AAUGGCGAAAGUUGUUGUCUGGUUAUUUUCAAUUUGCCAAUCAUGUAAUACUCAAGUGGUCCAUUAACCCCUGUCAGCCUCAACUUCCACUGGCAGAUUCUGUACAUUUUUUCCUUGAAAUUAAAUUCUCAUCGUUAUCAUCCCAUGUGUCGUGACCACUUGGCAAUAUUUGGGAUUUCAGCUGAAUUUCUUUCACAUUACCAGAAGAUAAUGGAAGAUGGAACGCCACCACUCACUCACUGAAGAACAUAUUAUUACGCUGCUGCUGCUCCUCCUGAUGCAGGAUGCGGCGGGCACCACGGAGGUGGAGAUAGCUGCGGAGGCGGUCAUCACUAAUGUCCUUCACCAGAGGCGGAAUAAUGGCGCUGUGGCUGAUACGAAGUUUCAUUUCAAGACGCUACGGGGAAAAAAAAAAAAAGACUUUUCUUCACCGGCCAGAGAAGAGUCAAAACAACCUGCCCAUAUAUAUGCAGCCAACUAGCCACGAACGUCCUGAAGGAGAUCAUCGAUAGGAUACUGGGGAAGGGUAAUCAUGGCGAGGGAAAUUGCCCGUCUGGUAGAUAGCUAUGGAAGCGGCUCCGGGUCAGGUGGAGUCCUUUUUGUGCUCUGCGCAGUUGUAUUCUCUCUGACUGUCAUUUCCAUGGUUGUAUUCGCUUGUGGUCAUAGCAGCAAUGGCAGUCAUCGUCGGAGGCGGCAUGGAGGUGGUGGCGGAGGCGGCUGUGGAGGCGGUGGCGGCGGAGGUGGCUGUGGAGGCGGCGGCGGAGGAGGAUGUUAAGUUUUGAAAUGCAUGAUCUCUUUUUCGUUGUGUUAUUUGUAUAAAGAUAUUCACAGAGCGGGCAUUUGUGUUUGUAAAGUACAUAUGCCACUUGCUAUGUCUCAAAUAAAAGGGAGCGUCUGUUAUUAGCGAGUUUAUGGACUCCUCGUACUCUUCCGGUUUGGACAAUAUUUGUGAUACUGAGAUAUCAGUACACGAGCAACUCCUGUUGGUGCAUCUUGACUAGUGCAAUUGAUAAAAUCUUCGUUUUA